GGGGGAACCCUUGUAUUUGGGGGGGGCGGCUAACACAUGCAAGUCGAGCGGAUGCAAUGUGCGAGCCUUGCUCCUGGAUUCAGCGGCGGACGGGUGAGUAAUGCCUAGGAAUCUGCCUGGUAGUGGGGGAUAACGUCCGGAAACGGGCGCUAGUACCGCAUACGUCCUGAGGGAGAAAGUGGGGGAUCUUCGGACCUCACGCUAUCAGAUGAGCCUAGGUCGGAUUAACUAGUUGGUGGGGUAAAGGCCUACCAAGGCGACGAUCCGUAACUGGUCUGAGAGGAUGAUCAGUCACACUGGAACUGAGACACGGUCCAGACUCCUACGGGAGGCAGCAGUGGGGAAUAUUGGACAAUGGGCGAAAGCCUGAUCCAGCCAUGCCGCGUGUGUGAAGAAAGUCUUCGGAUUGUAAAGCACUUUAAGUUGGGAGGAAGGGCAGUAAGUUAAUACCUUGCUGUUUUGACGUUACCAGCGGAAUAAGCACCGGCUAACUUCGUGCCAGCAGCCGCGGUAAUACCAAGGGUGCAAGCGUUAAUCGGAAUUACUGGGCGUAAAGCGCGCGUAAGUGGUUCAGCAAGUUGGAUGUGAAAUCCCCGGGCUCAACCUGGGAACUGCAUCCAAAACUACUGAGCUAGAGUACGGUAGAGGGUGGUGGAAUUUCCUGUGUAACGGUGAAAUGCGUACAUAUAGGAAGGAACACCAGUGGCGAAGGCGACCACCUGGACUGAUACUGACACUGAUGUGCGAAAGCGUGGGGAGCAAACAGGAUUAGAUACCCUGGUAGUCCACGCCGUACACGAUGUCUACUAGCCCUUGGGAUCCUUGAGAUCUUAUUGGCGCAGCUAACGCGAUAAAUCCAACCGCCUGGGUAGUAGGGCCCUCACGG
rnacentral:rRNA from 1 species